rnacentral:lncRNA from 1 species
UUUAUGAUUGUGCAGGUUGAGCUGUGAUGGGCGAUGAAGUGUUGCUGAGUGAAGCUUUUGUCGAACUUAAAGUAGGCUCAGAAAGGAUACAUGUCUUCAUACAUGUAUCACAGUUAUGCUUUCCGCUGUAAACACUGAUUAUUUCAGUUACGCCUUCCGUUGCAAACUCUGAUAAUGUUUUAGCCAAGCCCCUAAAAAUGUCUUUUUCCUUUUAAGGAAUAUAACGCGUAUACAAGUUCUUUGAGUACCCUUUUAUUGCGAACUAUGCCUUUUUCCUUUUUAAGGAAUAUUUCACGCGUAUUCAAGCUCUUUGAGUAUUCUUUUA